GAAUUAGAUUCUCGGCGUACCGCUCAGUAACACGUGGGUAACCUGCCCUAUGCUGGAUAAUAACCUCGGGAAACUGAGUAUAAUGAUCCAUAGUUCACUACGCCUGGAACGGUGAGUGGAUGAAAGCUCCGGCGGCAUAGGAUGGGCCCGCGGCGUAUCAGGUCGUAGGGGGUGUAACGUACCCUCUAGCCAUCGACGCGUACGGGUGUUGGGAGACAUAGCCCGGAGAUGGAUUCUGAGACACGAAUCCAGACCCUACGGGGUGCAGCAGGCGCGAAAACUUGGCAAUGCGAGAAAUCGUGACCAGGGGACUCCAAGUGGCUGGGGUAAGACCCAGUCUUUUCUUGACUCUUCAAAGGUCUUGGAAUAAGGGGUGGGUAAGGACGGUGCCAGCCGCCGCGGUAAUACCGGCGCCUCAAGUGGUAGUCGAUUUUAUUGGGCCUAAAACGUCCGUCGCCUGUUUGGUACAUUCGUGGGUAAAUCAACCAGCUCAACUGGUUGAAUUCUGCGAGCACGGCCAGACUUGGGACCGGGAGAGGUGUGGGGUACGCUCAGGGUAGGGGUAAAAUCCUGUCAUCCUGAGCGGACCACCUGUUGCGAAGGCUCCACACUAGAACGGAUCCGACGGUCAGGGACGAAGCCUAGGGGCACGAACCGGAUUAGAUACCCGGGUAGUCCUAGGUGUAAA
rnacentral:rRNA from 1 species